AUUGAGUUUGAUCCUGGCUCAGGAUGAACGCUAGCGGCAGGCCUAAUACAUGCAAGUCGAACGAGCUCAAGGACUUCGGUUCUUGGGUUAGUGGCGCACGGGUGCGUAACGCGUAUGCAACCUACCUUCCACAGGGGGAUAGCCCGUCGAAAGACGGAUUAAUACCGCAUAAGACCACGACCUGGCAUCAGGAUGUGCUCAAAGCUGAGGCGGUGGAAGAUGGGCAUGCGUGCCAUUAGCUAGUUGGCGGGGUAGAGGCCCACCAAGGCGACGAUGGCUAGGGGUUCUGAGAGGAUGGUCCCCCACACUGGUACUGAGACACGGACCAGACUCCUACGGGAGGCAGCAGUAGGGAAUAUUGGGCAAUGGCCGAGAGGCUGACCCAGCCAUGCCGCGUGCAGGAAGAAGGCCUUCUGGGUUGUAAAGCACUUUAGCCUGGAAAGAAAACGCUCGAGCGAACACCUUGAGUCUUGACGGUACCAGGAGAAUAAGCACCGGCUAACUCUGUGCCAGCAGCCGCGGUAAAAU
rnacentral:rRNA from 1 species